GAUUUUUGUUGGGUUUUUGGUUGGGUUUUUUUUUUUUCCCCUAUUUCUUUGCAUUGAUUUUCUUUUUUCUCCCCCUCCUUCGUUUUUUUUUUCUCCCCCUUCCUUAAGAAUUUCUUGCAUGGCUCCCAACACAGACGGGGAGGAACAAAAAGAGACCCAGAUUCAACCACGUUUCUUCCUCCUCCCCUCCCACCCCCCUUUAUUCCUCGUUGGGAUUCAGUUUCUCUCCCUUUUGUGAACUUAACAGAUGUCAUUUUUAUUAUUAUUAUUAUUUUAAUUUUUAAUUGUGUUUUUUUUGCGGGGGGUUGUUUUGGGGUUUUGGUUUUUUUUGCGAUGUGUUUUGGGGCUGCGGAUGGAGCAGCCCCCGCCCCGCGGCUCCAGCCCGGCCCCUCCGCGGGGAUGAACCCCCCCCCCUCCAUUCCCAUCACCCUCCUCCUCCUCCUUCUCCCCCCGGGGCUACGGGCGCCCACCCCGACGGCGGCGGCGGCCCCACGGACGGAGCGGCGGUGGGCGCGGGGCCGCCCGACCGGGAGGGCUGCGAGCAUUGCGGGUGACUUAAGAGCUACGGCUUGGUACCAAUGGAGCCGUCAGCACCGCGGUACGACAGGUUGCGGGAGCCGGGGCCCCUCGAACAGAGCAGCCUUGUCUGUCAGAACCGCCUGACACUCCCCAUAAUGGCCAGAUGGAUGAGACUCUGAAAGUAGGACCCGGCGCGUUUUCAACUCUAUUUUGGGUGAAAACACUUCUUGAAAGAUCUUGAAAGGAGCUGGCAGUUGAGGAGUUCCAAUGAUUAAUGAGUGCUGGCUCUGCAGGGCGGGUUGCUCGCACCGUGCCAGCAGCCGCGCUGCUCCAGCAGCCCCAACCCCACCAUCCCCCCCCCAUAUACAUACACACACACACACACACACCCCAUCGGCUCUCCCGGAAAUGACACCAACACGACAGGGCCAGCAUAUGGAAAAAGUUAAAUAUAAAUGACUGCUGAAAGAGGCCUAGCCGAGCGGAGUUAGUUAAAGAUGUUUAUGGAUUCAGAAACACGGGCCUGCAUAUGUAUUUAGAGAUGACAAAUGUGAUUCAAUAAGUAAAGAAUUUCUCUGUGGGUUGAGGCUGGGGCGCUGGGGGGGCUCUGGGCCAUAAAUCUGGGGACAGCCUCCUCUUUCCUUCUCCUUUUUGCUUUUUUUUUUCCAGGAUCAGAGCAAAGCGCUGCCUCUGUUCCCAUGUCCCCGUCCCCUGCCCUGCAGCCCUGCUUCUUUUAUGGGUUUUUACCCCAAAAUGGCUCUUGUUGCCAUGGCACAAAGGGUGUGGGAUGCCCCCCAUUCCCACAAGCUCAUGCAGACCCAAAGUGCUGGCAGAGCUCAUUGCAAUGCCAUGGGGUAGGGGAUCCCCUCUCAGGUGAACCCAGCACUGAUCCCUGCACCCCUGGUGGACCACACUCGUGCAGCUGGACCCUGCAGAACUGUCAGCAAAUGAUUAAUGACCAACAGUCCCCAGGGCUGCCCCUACCAGAAGUGAGUGCCCUGUGUUUCAUGCAUGCUUUGCAAGUUCCUGCAUGCAUGCUCAGCCUUGCAAAGCACAGCACGCUCAGCCCAAAGUGGGGACCCCCAUAAAGCCCCUAUAGAACCCAUCCAGAGGAGGGGUGUGCAGGGCAGGAGCUGUCCCCCCAUGUCCCCCCCUUAUCGCCCCACUGCUUUUAGGGGGUCAGCACCCAGCUGGACUGCUGACCUCCAGCCACAUUCCUUUGUCCUGAUUUGAUUCGUGAGCAGCAUUUGGCUGGGACACAGAGACAGCUAAUGAGGGACUGAGUUUAUUGCAGUUUGAUUUUUCUGUUAAAACAAUACAAUAAAAUAAAUGCACUUGGAAA